UUGAGAAACUCACCAAGAUGACCAAAACCAAGAUAUAUUCUAAUAACAUUUCUGGACAUUAAAGAAAACGAAAACGCUACUUAGGCAUCUCAGCAAAAACAAUAACUGACUUGAUAAUUAGGUUAUUAUCAAUCAGACUUUUUGAUAGCAAUGUUACGUGAAAAUGCAGUAAUAUUAUUAAGGUAUUCAAGAGCAGAAAAUAGGAACGAAGGUUUUUUAUAUCCAACAAAACUGACUGGAAGUCUGUUAAAUAUAAGGACUUCCUUGAGCUCUUCUUAGCAAGUAACUAAAGAAAGAGCUUCAAACAACCACAAUGAUUACAUCAGUAGUUCACAACUUUUGGUAUCAUGACCCCUUUACAUUCUUAAGAAUUAUUAAGAACUCCAAAGAGCUUUAGUUUAUAUGGGUUAUGUGAAGCAAUAUUCAUCACAUUAGAAAUUAAAACUGAAAAACUUUUAAUAUUUGUAUAAAGAACAGUGAUAAACCCAUUAUAUAUUAAUAUAAAUAACAUAUUUAUGAAAAGUAGCUAUAUCUUCUAGCACAAAAAUAUGGUGAGAGAAAAUGAAUUAUUUUACAUUAAAAGAAUCUUUUUAAUAUCUCACUUAAUAGUGAUUCACUUGGUCGUGUAUUCUUCUACAUUUAGCCUGUAAUAUGUUGUUUUAGUUAAAAUGCAUGAAGAAAAUGUGGUUGCACUCAGAUAUGUAAUAGGAAAGAGGGGAAGAAUUUUAAUAGCCUUUCAGCUAUUGUGUAUAUUCUUCUUUGAUAAGAUACUACAAUCAACAAAUGAUAAAUCUUUACAAAUUAGUUACAAUGUGGAAUCUGAAAUCUUAUCAGUGGUCUUUUCAUGUUAUGUUAAAAUUCAUUGGUCUACCUUGUGCUUUGAGUGGGCCUUCUAUCCGUGAUAAUUUUGCAGUAUCAUGUAUUGAUCAUUUGGAAGGGGGUCCACAGGAUUAUGCGGAUCUCCAAAAUGUUGACACGGGUCACUAAACAAUAUGAAAAAAUCGUAUUUGGUAAUAUCACCACCAAUCUCAUCCAAAAACCUUUGUUAUGGGGAACCUGUGGCAAACACAAGUUUUCCAAAAUUUUGAUUUUCUCUGGAAAAUCUAAUUUUCAUUGUCAAUAUCAUUUUCUUUGAAGUGGCAUUCUUCUUUUGUUUAUUUUUGAGAAAAUGCCUACCAAAUAUCCAGGGCCAAAUAACCAUACUGCGUCUGUCAGUCAUUCUUUCAAGAAAAAUGACAGUCCAUUAGAAAAAUAAGAGGUGGCUCGUUUCACCCACAACUCAAGCAAUUACACAGCGCUUUUCCACAAAAUAAAUGCCUUUCCAUCACUUUGCAGCAGAAAUGCUAGUUUGUCACACUAUAUAUUAAAAAGGUGCCUACUUGAGAUUCAAGAGUUAGUAAAAACUAAUGAUUAUUAUUGUUUCAUCAAGGCUAUCUUUAAGUGAAACUGGCACUUUUGAGGGUUUUUCACUGCAAGUGCAUGGCAGUCAAGAAUGCCAUGACUGCUUAUAGAAUUUGGUGCCACUGCCCUGAUUUGUACUAAAGCACCAAACGUUUACCCACUGUAAACUUUGCAUUAUCAGUACAAAUACAGUGAAAAUGGUAAAUAAGAUCUUAUUAUUAUUAUAAAAAUAGUUUUGAUCUUUCGGACUUCCCAAAAGGGUCUCAGGGACCUCCAGGAGUCCAUAGACCACAACUAGAGCACCACUGCACUUAAAGGACACUGACAUAAGGAAUAGUAGUCAUCAUUAAACAUGUUAUUACUCACAGCACUAAGACUAAAAAGGGAGCAAGUAUCUUCUGAAAUGGUGUAUGAUCCAUAACAUAGAUAGAGGACAACUAUAAAAAGGAAGGAUGAUGAGGAGAACAGAGGCAAAAGGAAUAUUAACUGUUUUCAGUAAUCAUUUUGGUGGUCGUAGCACAAGUAUCAUCAUCCUCAGACUGCUGUGUGUGUUCAUUCAGGAAAAGCAAAUGAGUAAAGGUGGAUAUUCUAAUUGUAGGUCUCCCUGUGUGUUUGAAAACCAGAACUCUUGAUGUGGAAGAAAGGAGACACAACUGUAAUAUAGAAGAGAUUAAUUUUUUAUUUGUAUAUACAUAAACUUUGUGCUUCUAUAAAUAUGAACAUUACAUAUAAACAUUUGUACUUCCACCAAAAAGACCUGAUAUAGUGAUGAACUCCUAACUCCCGCUUACGGUCUUAGUGACAUUUCCCACUAAAAUAAUCCAGGGCUUUCUAAAACAAUGGCUGAUUUCAGGUCUGAGCGGGAAACAUACAGAAUAAACCUGGAACAUUUUGGCAUGCAGAUAACAAAGAAAUGAUCAAAAGACUUGUGUCAAAAGGACUCAGGAGCCACUUGAAGAAGUUUCCAUGCACCUAGGAUGAUAUGAUUGAACUCAUGGCUAAAAACCAACCAGGA